rnacentral:lncRNA from 1 species
GCUGAUACCACCAUCACUGCAUUAAAGAAGGGCCUGAGGAUCACCCCUGCAUUCCGAAGGAUCUAAGUUAUCUCAGAAGAUGUACCUGUAUAGUGCAGGUGUGUUAUCUGCUCAGUCACGAUUGUUGUUAAGGUCAAAACUGGGGAGCCUGUGGGACCUCACUAUCUUAAUGACCAUUUCCUUGAUGUUCACAUUUUCCUGUGUUGAUCUACAGACAGUUCCUGUGGCAUCAUUUCACAAAGUCCUGAGUCAGUUCUCUGUACUUCCUUUAUCUCCAGCCGACGAUAACAGAGUAAUCUGAAUUUUUCAAAGCUGGCAGAAUUGUACUUGAUUUCUGAAUGAAGAGAAAAGGAGGAAGAACUGUUCCCUGAGCAGAAAUAUCUGUUUCCUGAGGAGCCCCGUGUGCUGAAGACAACCAUGUCAGACUGACAGUCCUUGGUCCUCACAUAGAUGUGGUUCUUCAGCAAUAACUGAAUGUUUGACCUGUAUGUACAGUAUAUCGCUCUUUCUCCAGUUGGAGGCGGUAUAAAGCAGGUUUCUCUUCAUCAUCCACCCCCACACACAAAACCAGACAAACAAUGCCACAAAAGCAGAAACCAGCAACCCCACAUUGUCACUUUAAAAAGAGGUUUUCCUGUCUUAGGUUUCAUUGAGAAGAACAAACAAGCGCCAGAAGACAAUGUGCCAUCAGAUGUCUGAACAUGAGCAAAACUCAAAGAUGAAGAUAUGUGAACUUACGAUCAUCAUCCUCAUACUUUUACUUCCAAUCAAAGGUGCAACAGUUACUCCAAUUUCUGUGCUGCUGGGAAAGCCCUUUGUCUUUCAUCUGCCAAAUGUACCGGAUAGAUUCAAAAUCAACUUCAUUGAAUGGAAACAAGCAAAUAAACUUUUGGCUACUAUUGAACCUAAUAAAGAACCUGAGCUAUUUGCCAUUCAGACUAGAAUUAAAUUCAUGAACAAUGGAUCAAUGUUCAUCAAAGAUUUCCAGCGUGAAGAUGCUGGGAAUUACACUUGCAAGAUCAUUUCCCAAAAUGGUGAAACUGAAACACACGUUGUCUGCUUGACUCCAUACUCAGAAAAUGAAGAACAGUCUGAAAAUAGGAAUCAGAUAUCUGAAAACUGCACAAGUGCACCAUCAGGUAAGCAUUUCUUUGUAUACUUUUCUCUCAUAAUUCAGCCCUUGACCUUCGUAUAGAUGCAUCUGCAACCCAUAGACUGCAGCUCAGUGUGAAACUCGAGGCAGUGGCAGUUUAGAGGAAAGCGGGUAGUGUGUAUAUCUGGUGUUAGUGUAAGUGUAUCAUGCAUAGUCAUGGUGCUGAGGCUUUCACACCUCUGUCUCACUGCUCCGUGUUGAGUGAUCUACCUCUUAAAACAUCCCGCCAAGAGAGUCGGUGUGGUCAUGAGUGAGACUACAGCAUUCAAAACUUCUUUAAAGGGUUCUUUGAGCAAUGAAUUAGAAGAAAGUUUGUCUACUGUAUACCAUAAUACACUGCCUGGCCAAAAAAAAGGUCACACACUCUAAUAUUUGGUUGGACCCACUUUAGCUUUGAUUGCAGCACACAUUCACUGUGGCAUUGUUUCAAAAAGCUUCUCCAAUGUCACAAGGUUUAUUUCAAUCCAGUGUUGCUGGAUUAAUUUUUCACCAAGAUCUUGCAGCAGCAUUGAUGAUGGUAGAGUCUGACCACUGCACAAAGCAGCUCUUCUCCAUCCAGCACAUCCCAAAGAUUCUCAAUGAGGUUAAGAUCUGGACUCUGUGGUGAACUCUCUCUCAAUCCAUGUGUGAAAAUGAUGAUCUCAUGCUCCCUGAACCCUGAACUCUUUCACAAUUCCAGCCACAUAUUUCCAGACACUGUCUUCUUAGAAUAAUGUAGUCUAGAUCUUUCUCUUUAGCGUUUUUAAAAGCAUGUAAUGUCUGCUGACAGCCAGCUUAGGGUAUGUGUUCACCUGGAUGACCAGCUCUUUAGCACUAAUCAUCAUACAUGCCAUAUGCCAUGUAUUUACCUUUAUAGAUUGAUUUAUUGUGCUGUAUAACAUGACCUAUAUGUGAUAUUGAUAAUUUCUUUAAAGAUCACUUUCAUGCACAUAAAAUAAAUAGUCCAUCAUAGACA